rnacentral:rRNA from 1 species
GCCAUGUCCGCGUGAGUGAAGAAGGCCUUCGGGUUGUAAAGCUCUUUCGCGAGGGAAGAAAACUUACUCAAUAACACUGGGUGAGGCUGACGGUACCUUGAUAAGAAGCACCGGCUAACUACGUGCCAGCAGCCGCGGUAAUACGUAGGGUGCGAGCGUUAAUCGGAAUUACUGGGCGUAAAGCGUGCGCAGGCGGUUUUGUAAGUCAGAUGUGAAAGCCCCGGGCUCAACCUGGGAACUGCGUUUGAAACUACAAGGCUAGAGUAUGGCAGAGGGGGGUAGAAUUCCACGUGUAGCAGUGAAAUGCGUAGAGAUGUGGAGGAAUACCAAUGGCGAAGGCAGCCCCCUGGGUCAAUACUGACGCUCAUGCACGAAAGCGUGGGGAGCAAACAGGAUUAGAUACCCUGGUAGUCCACGCCCUAAACGAUGUCUACUAGUUGUUGGGAGAGUAAAAUCUCUUAGUAACGCAGCUAACGCGUGAAGUAGACCGCCUGGGGAGUACGGUCGCAAGAUUAAAACUCAAAGGAAUUGACGG